CGAAUGCUGACAUAAGUAACGAUAAAGCGGGUGAAAAGCCCGCUCGCCGGAAGACCAAGGGUUCCUGUCCAACGUUAAUCGGGGCAGGGUGAGUCGACCCCUAAGGCGAGGCCGAAAGGCGUAGUCGAUGGGAAACAGGUUAAUAUUCCUGUACUUGGUGUUACUGCGAAGGGGGGACGGAGAAGGCUAUGUUGGCCGGGCGACGGUUGUCCCGGUUUAAGCGUGUAGGCUGGUUUUCCAGGCAAAUCCGGAAAAUCAAGGCUGAGGCGUGAUGACGAGGCACUACGGUGCUGAAGCAACAAAUGCCCUGCUUCCAGGAAAAGCCUCUAAGCAUCAGGUAACAUCAAAUCGUACCCCAAACCGACACAGGUGGUCAGGUAGAGAAUACCAAGGCGCUUGAGAGAACUCGGGUGAAGGAACUAGGCAAAAUGGUGCCGUAACUUCGGGAGAAGGCACGCUGAUAUGUAGGUGAAGCGACUUGCUCGUGGAGCUGAAAUCAGUCGAAGAUACCAGCUGGCUGCAACUGUUUAUUAAAAACACAGCACUGUGCAAACACGAAAGUGGACGUAUACGGUGUGACGCCUGCCCGGUGCCGGAAGGUUAAUUGAUGGGGUCAGCGCAAGCGAAGCUCUUGAUCGAAGCCCCGGUAAACGGCGGCCGUAACUAUAACGGUCCUAAGGUAGCGAAAUUCCUUGUCGGGUAAGUUCCGACCUGCACGAAUGGCGUAAUGAUGGCCAGGCUGUCUCCACCCGAGACUCAGUGAAAUUGAACUCGCUGUGAAGAUGCAGUGUACCCGCGGCAAGACGGAAAGACCCCGUGAACCUUUACUAUAGCUUGACACUGAACAUUGAGCCUUGAUGUGUAGGAUAGGUGGGAGGCUUUGAAGUGUGGACGCCAGUCUGCAUGGAGCCGACCUUGAAAUACCACCCUUUAAUGUUUGAUGUUCUAACGUUGACCCGUAAUCCGGGUUGCGGACAGUGUCUGGUGGGUAGUUUGACUGGGGCGGUCUCCUCCUAAAGAGUAACGGAGGAGCACGAAGGUUGGCUAAUCCUGGUCGGACAUCAGGAGGUUAGUGCAAUGGCAUAAGCCAGCUUGACUGCGAGCGUGACGGCGCGAGCAGGUGCGAAAGCAGGUCAUAGUGAUCCGGUGGUUCUGAAUGGAAGGGCCAUCGCUCAACGGAUAAAAGGUACUCCGGGGAUAACAGGCUGAUACCGCCCAAGAGUUCAUAUCGACGGCGGUGUUUGGCACCUCGAUGUCGGCUCAUCACAUCCUGGGGCUGAAGUAGGUCCCAAGGGUAUGGCUGUUCGCCAUUUAAAGUGGUACGCGAGCUGGGUUUAGAACGUCGUGAGACAGUUCGGUCCCUAUCUGCCGUGGGCGCUGGAGAACUGAGGGGGGCUGCUCCUAGUACGAGAGGACCGGAGUGGACGCAUCACUGGUGUUCGGGUUGUCAUGCCAAUGGCACUGCCCGGUAGCUAAAUGCGGAAGAGAUAAGUGCUGAAAGCAUCUAAGCACGAAACUUGCC
rnacentral:rRNA from 1 species